UACGUAGGGUGCAAGCGUUGUCCGGAAUUAUUGGGCGUAAAGAGCUCGUAGGCGGUCUGUCGCGUCUGCUGUGAAAACUCAGGGCUUAACCCUGGGCUUGCAGUGGGUACGGGCAGACUAGAGUGCGGUAGGGGAGACUGGAAUUCCUGGUGUAGCGGUGAAAUGCGCAGAUAUCAGGAGGAACACCGGUGGCGAAGGCGGGUCUCUGGGCCGUAACUGACGCUGAGGAGCGAAAGCAUGGGGAGCGAACAGG
rnacentral:rRNA from 1 species